rnacentral:miRNA from 1 species
UAUUAGCUUGGUGCAAAAGUAAUUGUGGUUUUUGCCUUUUAAAAGCAACGGCAAAGACCACAAUUACUUUUUCACCAGCCUCAUA